UACGGGGGGGGCAAGCGUUGUUCGGAAUUACUGGGCGUAAAGGGCUCGUAGGUGGCCAACUAAGUCAGACGUGAAAUCCCUCAGCUUAACUGGGGAACUGCGUCUGAUACUGGAUGGCUUGAGUUUGGGAGAGGGAUGCGGAAUUCCAGGUGUAGCGGUGAAAUGCGUAGAUAUCUGGAGGAACACCGGUGGCGAAGGCGGCAUCCUGGACCAACACUGACACUGAGGAGCGAAAACGCAGGGGAGCAAACGGG
rnacentral:rRNA from 1 species